AUUGAACGCUAGCGGGAUGCCUUACACAUGCAAGUCGAACGGAGUGGCGAACGGAUGAGUAAUGUAUCGGAACGUGCCCAGUAGCGGGGGCUAACUACACGAAAGCGUAGCUAAUACCGCAUACUAUUGGAGCGGCCGAUAUCGGAGUAGCUAGUUGGUGGGGUAACGGCUAACCAAGGCGACGAUCCGUAGCUGGUUUGAGAGGACGACCAGCCACACUGGGACGUAGACACGGCCCAGAGUCCUACGGGAGGCAGCAGGGGGGAAUUUUCGACAAGGGGGGAAACCCUGAUCCAGCAAUCCCGCGUGUGCGAUGAAGGCCUGCGGGUUGUAAAGCACUUUUGGCAGGAAAGCGGGACCUGCAGAAGAAGCACCGGCUAACUACGUGCCAGCAGCCGCGGUAAUAC
rnacentral:rRNA from 1 species